rnacentral:rRNA from 1 species
GUAGGUGGCAAGCGUUGUCCGGAAUUAUUGGGCGUAAAGCGCGCGCAGGGCGGUUCUUUAAGUCUGAUGUGAAAGCCCACGGCUCAACCGUGGAGGGUCAUUGGAAACUGGGGAACUUGGGUACAGAAGAGGAAAGCGGAAUUCCACGUGUAGCGGUGAAAUGCGUAGAGAUGUGGAGGAACACCAGUGGCGAAGGCGGCUUUCUGGUCUGUAACUGACGCUGAGGCGCGAAAGCGUGGGGAGCAAACAGGAUUAGAUACCCUGGUAGUCCACGCCGUAAACGAUGAGUGCUAAGUGUUAGGGGGUUUCCGCCCCUUAGUGCUGCAGCUAACGCAUUAAGCACUCCGCCUGGGGAGUACGGCCGCAAGGCUG